CGCGUGAGAAUUUGCCUUUAGGAGGGGAACAACAGUUAGAAAUGACUGCUAAUGCCCCAUAUGCUAUUUUAUUAGUGAAACGGAAUUUAUUUCGCCUGAAGAGAAGCUCGCGUCUGAUUAGCUAGUUGGUUAAAGGUAACGGCUUACCAAGGCGACGAUCAGUAGCUGGUUUGAGAGGAUGAUCAGCCACACUGGAACUGAGACACGGUCCAGACUCCUACGGGAGGCAGCAGUGGGGAAGUUUUCUUGCAAUGGGCGAAAGCCUGACAGAGCAAUACCGCGUGAGGGAGUGAAGGCUCG
rnacentral:rRNA from 1 species